UACGUAGGGUGCGAGCGUUAAUCGGAAUUACUGGGCGUAAAGCGUGCGCAGGCGGUUUUGUAAGCCAGAUGUGAAAUCCCCGGGCUUAACCUGGGAAUGGCAUUUGGGACUGCAAGGCUGGAGUGUGGCAGAGGAGACUGGAAUUCCUGGUGUAGCAGUGAAAUGCGUAGAUAUCAGGAGGAAUACCGAUGGCGAAGGCAGGUCUCUGGGCCGCAACUGACGCUGAGGAGCGAAAGCAUGGGGAGCGAACAGG
rnacentral:rRNA from 1 species